rnacentral:rRNA from 1 species
GCCAGUGCCAUAUCACCUUGCAGUUCUCGCCUGGUUUCCCACUGAAGAUAAGCAGGUUUAAGCCUGGUCAGUACCUGGAUGGAAGACCUCCUGGGGAAAACUAAGGUUGCUGCUGGAA